UUUCCUCAAUUAUACUAGUUAUAUCAGUUAUACCAAUAAUACCAAUUUUACCAGUAUGACAACAAAAUCUAAGGAAAAUAUCAAAAUUCGUUUGAAAAAAAAUUUAUACAAAAAAAAGGAAAAAAAAUUCUGAAGUGUAUUGUCACGUGUGCAAUAUGUGUUUACACUUAGUGUUCACACUUAGUUAUACCCAAGAUUGUAGUUGUACCAAAUUUGCAAAUAGUUGUACUUUUGAGGUUUUUUCAAUUUAAUUAGUUUUACC
rnacentral:lncRNA from 1 species